CACGUAGGGGGGCAAGCGUUUGUCCGGAUUUAUUGGGCGUAAAGAGCUCGUAGGUGGUUCGAUAAGUCGGGUGUGAAACCUCCAGGCUCAACCUGGAGACGCCACCCGAUACUGUCGUGACUAGAGUCCAGUAGGGGAGCGUGGAAUUCCUGGUGUAGCGGUGAAAUGCGCAGAUAUCAGGAGGAACACCAGCGGCGAAGGCGGCGCUCUGGGCUGGCACUGACACUGAGGAGCGAAAGCGUGGGGAGCGAACAGG
rnacentral:rRNA from 1 species